rnacentral:rRNA from 1 species
UACGUAGGUGGCAAGCGUUGUUCGGAUUUACUGGGCGUAAAGCGUGUGCAGGCGGGGGGGUAAGUGGUGUAUGAAAACGCUCGGCUUAACCGGGCGCUGUUAUGCCAGACUAUCUCUCUGGAGCGCGAGAGAGGAGCGUGGAAUUCCGGGUGUAGUGGUGAAAUGCGUAGAGAUCCGGAGGAACCCCAGAGGCGAAGGCGGCGCUCUGGCUCGCGACUGACGCUCAGACACGACAGCAUGGGGAGCGAACGGG